CUCACUGCCGUGCUCACUUUUCAGCGAACAAACACAAUUUAUUUUUUAUUUGCUCUAACAGUUUUUUUUUGUGGUUUUUUUAAAUCUGUCAACAAAUAUGCCCUGUGACUAUUCUGGCAAAAUAGGAAUACUGGAAUCCAGCAUUCAUACAAACAUGUGCACUUGAGCUUCCGUUUUGGCAAGAAAGCAGAGACCUGGCGGAAGGACGGCGGCGUCCAGGCGUAAACAGCGUGGGCGGCCCCGCCCGUCCUGGUCCGGCUCCAUCCAAUCGGGCACUGAUGUGCGGGGGCUGCCCUGACAGAUGGCAGCCUGACCUGGGAGACAAGCCCCCCUGGUCAAGAAGCUUCAGCAGGCUGCAGAUGACAGGUAGACGACAAAAACAAAGCCAAAUGGGUUUGUUGUUUUUUUUUCUUAUGACUCUUCCCAGGUGUGAUUACGCUCCAGUUGAAAAAGCAAAUAACUCAGACUGUCUCCAGGUGGGUUUGACAAUAUUUGCUUUCUUUUGAUAGCAACAAUAUGGAAUAUGACAUUUGUUUUUACAGGAUUUGGUGCACCCAUUUCAUAACAUGCCACUUUGUCAUAUUCCAGCCAUGUAAUCCCGCCGAGCGGGCUGGCCAAGCGUACGCGGCGCGCCGUUCAGAUGUGUCCCGCCGCUCGGAGCCCAGUUGUAAUCCCGCAUUAAACCAGCGUGAGACCUAAUUGAAAUAAUCCCCGCCGACCGGCGCCGGCUUCAGCCGUUGCCAGUUUGCGUGAUGGGUCCAGUUUAACCCGCCGUGUGACUCUGACCUUUCCCUCACUGCUCGCUGGGACCAUCUGAACUCAACCCAGCAAGGACAUCUGGUCCGAUAGCGGGGAGGUGGUUUGUUUCGCCCGGCUGGUCCCGGAGGUCCGCGAAAGACUGUCGCACUUGCUGGAAAUGAGCAACGUUUAUGUAGAUGUUUUUACAUAUUCCUGCAAACAUGUCAAACAGAAGAAGAUCUCGGUGUUCUAGGGCAGAGGAGACAAAAACACUUCUUAUAAAAAAACAAUCCAAAAAAAAAAAAAGAUGGGGCCAGUCCAGCCCGUUUACGGAUGUAAAUAAUGGCCGCUCUUGUCUAUUUCUCUAUAUAAACCAAACGUAUUCUGCUCAAAUACACAAAGUUGAGCUCGUAAACUUUCGGGCUAAAAUGACUCCAAUGUGUUAUUUGGGCUUUUAAACACAUUCAGCAUGUUUAUACAGCCUCACCUGAGUUAUUGUCUCUCUGCAUCUGCAAAGCAUGCUAGCUAACGGUGCACGUGCGCGCGUUCGUUCGUUCGUUGGACUUGAGCGGUGUCCAACACGUGAGAGGUGGCGGUUACGUCAAAGCUGGAAAAAAAAGUCUUCUUCUCCUCUUCCUCUUCUCACCAUUGCUUCGUGCAAUUAUUGAUCUUAUUCAAACACUUUUCAAGGUGUCUUAAUUACUUGCAAAGAAGCGUCGCCUUGGCGUGCAGACAACACAAAUAAGUUGAUUUGCAUUUCUGUGUUGUGAGUGUUUUGGCAGCGCGGCGCCGGUCCAGAUUGUAACCCCCGUUUCUGCCUCCAAGAAGCUGCCUUGGAGGAGCGUCCACGGAGGGAUUUGGGAUUUAGUGGGAAGGUCACAACCUCAUUACAGCUUCAAGGCAGAAAG